rnacentral:rRNA from 1 species
UUAAGUUAUUAAGGGCGCACGGUGGAUGCCUUGGCACUAGAAGCCGAUGAAGGACGUUACUAACGACGAUAUGCUUUGGGGAGCUGUAAGUAAGCUUUGAUCCAGAGAUUUCCGAAUGGGGAAACCCAGCAUGAGUUAUGUCAUGUUAUCGAUAUGUGAAUACAUAGCAUAUCAGAAGGCACACCCGGAGAACUGAAACAUCUUAGUACCCGGAGGAAGAGAAAGAAAAUUCGAUUCCCUUAGUAGCGGCGAGCGAAACGGGAAGAGCCCAAACCAACAAGCUUGCUUGUUGGGGUUGUAGGACACUCUAUACGGAGUUACAAAGGACGACAUUAGACGAAUCAUCUGGAAAGAUGAAUCAAAGAAGGUAAUAAUCCUGUAGUCGAAAAUGUUGUCUCUCUUGAGUGGAUCCUGAGUACGACGGAGCACGUGAAAUUCCGUCGGAAUCUGGGAGGACCAUCUCCUAAGGCUAAAUACUCUCUAGUGACCGAUAGUGAACCAGUACCGUGAGGGAAAGGUGAAAAGCACCCCGGAAGGGGAGUGAAAUAGAACCUGAAACCGUGUGCUUACAAGUAGUCAGAGCCCGUUAAUGGGUGAUGGCGUGCCUUUUGUAGAAUGAACCGGCGAGUUACGAUUUGAUGCAAGGUUAAGCAGUAAAUGUGGAGCCGUAGCGAAAGCGAGUCUGAAUAGGGCGUUUAGUAUUUGGUCGUAGACCCGAAACCAGGUGAUCUACCCUUGGUCAGGUUGAAGUUCAGGUAACACUGAAUGGAGGACCGAACCGACUUACGUUGAAAAGUGAGCGGAUGAACUGAGGGUAGCGGAGAAAUUCCAAUCGAACCUGGAGAUAGCUGGUUCUCUCCGAAAUAGCUUUAGGGAUAGCCUCAAGUGAUGAUUAUUGGAGGUAGAGCACUGUUUGGACGAGGGGCCCCUCUCGGGUUACCGAAUUCAGACAAACUCCGAAUGCCAAUUAAUUUAACUUGGGAGUCAGAACAUGGGUGAUAAGGUCCGUGUUCGAAAGGGAAACAGCCCAGACCACCAGCUAAGGUCCCAAAAUAUAUGUUAAGUGGAAAAGGAUGUGGCGUUGCCCAGACAACUAGGAUGUUGGCUUAGAAGCAGCCAUCAUUUAAAGAGUGCGUAAUAGCUCACUAGUCGAGUGACACUGCGCCGAAAAUGUACCGGGGCUAAACAUAUUACCGAAGCUGUGGAUUGUCCUUUGGACAAUGGUAGGAGAGCGUUCUAAGGGCGUUGAAGCAUGAUCGUAAGGACAUGUGGAGCGCUUAGAAGUGAGAAUGCCGGUGUGAGUAGCGAAAGACGGGUGAGAAUCCCGUCCACCGAUUGACUAAGGUUUCCAGAGGAAGGCUCGUCCGCUCUGGGUUAGUCGGGUCCUAAGCUGAGGCCGACAGGCGUAGGCGAUGGAUAACAGGUUGAUAUUCCUGUACCACCUAUAAUCGUUUUAAUCGAUGGGGGGACGCAGUAGGAUAGGCGAAGCGUGCGAUUGGAUUGCACGUCUAAGCAGUAAGGCUGAGUAUUAGGCAAAUCCGGUACUCGUUAAGGCUGAGCUGUGAUGGGGAGAAGACAUUGUGUCUUCGAGUCGUUGAUUUCACACUGCCGAGAAAAGCCUCUAGAUAGAAAAUAGGUGCCCGUACCGCAAACCGACACAGGUAGUCAAGAUGAGAAUUCUAAGGUGAGCGAGCGAACUCUCGUUAAGGAACUCGGCAAAAUGACCCCGUAACUUCGGGAGAAGGGGUGCUCUUUAGGGUUAACGCCCAGAAGAGCCGCAGUGAAUAGGCCCAAGCGACUGUUUAUCAAAAACACAGGUCUCUGCUAAACCGUAAGGUGAUGUAUAGGGGCUGACGCCUGCCCGGUGCUGGAAGGUUAAGAGGAGUGGUUAGCUUCUGCGAAGCUACGAAUCGAAGCCCCAGUAAACGGCGGCCGUAACUAUAACGGUCCUAAGGUAGCGAAAUUCCUUGUCGGGUAAGUUCCGACCCGCACGAAAGGCGUAACGAUUUGGGCACUGUCUCAACGAGAGACUCGGUGAAAUCAUAGUACCUGUGAAGAUGCAGGUUACCCGCGACAGGACGGAAAGACCCCGUGGAGCUUUACUGUAGCCUGAUAUUGAAAUUCGGCACAGCUUGUACAGGAUAGGUAGGAGCCUUUGAAACGUGAGCGCUAGCUUACGUGGAGGCGCUGGUGGGAUACUACCCUAGCUGUGUUGGCUUUCUAACCCGCACCACUUAUCGUGGUGGGAGACAGUGUCAGGCGGGCAGUUUGACUGGGGCGGUCGCCUCCUAAAAGGUAACGGAGGCGCUCAAAGGUUCCCUCAGAAUGGUUGGAAAUCAUUCAUAGAGUGUAAAGGCAUAAGGGAGCUUGACUGCGAGACCUACAAGUCGAGCAGGGUCGAAAGACGGACUUAGUGAUCCGGUGGUUCCGCAUGGAAGGGCCAUCGCUCAACGGAUAAAAGCUACCCCGGGGAUAACAGGCUUAUCUCCCCCAAGAGUUCACAUCGACGGGGAGGUUUGGCACCUCGAUGUCGGCUCAUCGCAUCCUGGGGCUGUAGUCGGUCCCAAGGGUUGGGCUGUUCGCCCAUUAAAGCGGUACGCGAGCUGGGUUCAGAACGUCGUGAGACAGUUCGGUCCCUAUCCGUCGUGGGCGUAGGAAAUUUGAGAGGAGCUGUCCUUAGUACGAGAGGACCGGGAUGGACAUACCUCUGGUGUACCAGUUGUCGUGCCAACGGCAUAGCUGGGUAGCUAUGUGUGGACGGGAUAAGUGCUGAAAGCAUCUAAGCAUGAAGCCCCCCUCAAGAUGAGAUUUCCCAACUUCGGUUAUAAGAUCCCUCAAAGAUGAUGAGGUUAAUAGGUUCGAGGUGGAAGCAUGGUGACAUGUGGAGCUGACGAAUACUAAUCGAUCGAAGACUUAAUCAA